UACGGAGGAUGCAAGCGUUAUCCGGAAUCAUUGGGCGUAAAGCGUCCGUAGGUGGCUUUUCAAGUCUGCCGUCAAAGACCGGGGCUUAACCCCAGAAAGGCGGUGGGAACUGAAUAGCUAGAGUGCAGUAGGGGUAGAGGGAAUUCCCGGUGUAGCGGUGAAAUGCGUAGAGAUCGGGAAGAACACCAACGGCGAAAGCACUCUGCUGGGCCGACACUGACACUGAGAGACGAAAGCUAGGGGAGCGAAUGGG
rnacentral:rRNA from 1 species